UUGGAAACGACUGCUAAUACCGCAUGACGCAUUUUGAUCGCAUGGUCGAAAUGCCAAAGAUUUAUCGCUGAAAGAUGGCCUCGCGUCUGAUUAGCUAGUUGGUGAGGUAACGGCCCACCAAGGCGACGAUCAGUAGCCGGACUGAGAGGUUGACCGGCCACAUUGGGACUGAGAUACGGCCCAGACUCCUACGGGAGGCAGCAGUGGGGAAUAUUGGGCAAUGGGCGCAAGCCUGACCCAGCAACGCCGCGUGAAGGAAGAAGGCUUUCGGGUUGUAAACUUCUUUUAAGUGGGAAGAGUAGAAGACGGUACCACUUGAAUAAGCCACGGCUAACUACGUGCCAGCAGCCGCGGUAAUACGUAGGUGGCAAGCGUUGUCCGGAUUUACUGGGUGUAAAGGGCGUGCAGCCGGGCAUGCAAGUCAGAUGUGAAAUCUCAGGGCUUAACCCUGAAACUGCAUUUGAAACUGUAUGUCUUGAGUGCCGGAGAGGUAAUCGGAAUUCCUUGUGUAGCGGUGAAAUGCGUAGAUAUAAGGAAGAACACCAGUGGCGAAGGCGGAUUACUGGACGGUAACUGACGGUGAGGCGCGAAAGCGUGGGGAGCGAACAGGAUUAGAUACCCUGGUAGUCCACGCUGUAA
rnacentral:rRNA from 1 species